GACGGAGGAUGCAAGCGUUAUCCGGAAUGAUUGGGCGUAAAGCGUCCGCAGGUGGCAGUUCAAGUCUGCUGUCAAAGACCGGGGCUUAACUUCGGAAAGGCAGUGGAAACUGAACAGCUAGAGUAUGGUAGGGGCAGAGGGAAUUCCUGGUGUAGCGGUGAAAAUGCGUAGAGAUCAGGAAGAACAUCGGUGGCGAAGGCGCUCUGCUGGACCAUAACUGACACUGAGGGACGAAAGCUAGGGGGAGCGAACGGG
rnacentral:rRNA from 1 species